AGUGAACGCUGGCGGUAGGCCUAACACAUGCAAGUCGAACGGCAGCACAGUAAGAGCUUGCUCUUACGGGUGGCGAGUGGCGGACGGGUGAGGAAUACAUCGGAAUCUACUUUUUCGUGGGGGAUAACGUAGGGAAACUUACGCUAAUACCGCAUACGACCUACGGGUGAAAGCAGGGGAUCUUCGGACCUUGCGCGAUUGAAUGAGCCGAUGUCGGAUUAGCUAGUUGGCGGGGUAAAGGCCCACCAAGGCGACGAUCCGUAGCUGGUCUGAGAGGAUGAUCAGCCACGCUGGAACUGAGACACGGUCCAGAAUCCUACGGGAGGCAGCAGUGGGGAAUAUUGGACAAUGGGCGCAAGCCUGAUCCAGCCAUAACGCGUGGGUGAAGAAGGCCUUCGGGUUGUAAAGCCCUUUUGUUGGGAAAGAAAAGCAGCAGGUUAAUACCCCGCUGUUCUGACGGUACCCAAAGAAUAAGCACCGGCUAACUUCGU
rnacentral:rRNA from 1 species